rnacentral:rRNA from 1 species
UACGAAGGGGGCUAGCGUUGUUCGGAACUACUGGGCGUAAAGGGCUCGUAGGUGGUCAACUAAGUCGGACGUGAAAUCCCUCGGCUUAACCGGGGAACUGCGUCCGAUACUGGAUGACUUGAGUUCGGGAGAGGGAUGCGGAAUUCCAGGUGUAGCGGUGAAAUGCGUAGAUAUCUGGAGGAACACCGGUGGCGAAGGCGGCAUCCUGGACCGACACUGACGCUGAGGAGCGAAAGCCAGGGGAGCGAACGGG